rnacentral:tRNA from 7 species
GCAGCCGUAGCUCAGCUGGAUAGAGCGCUGCCCUCCGAAGGCAGAGGUCGUAGGUUCGAAUCCUACCGGUUGCGCCA